GGACAAGUGUGACUUAUUUGAAAUUUAAAAAAAUAUAUUUCAACGGCUACAUUCCUCCUCCGAUUCUUCUGUUCUCGCCUCUCUUUUUCCUUCCGGUUAAUCAAUCACUAUGCCGUAGCUGUUCUUGUUCAAUCUCAGUUGUCUUCUUCUCUAAUGUGAAAGACUUGACCCUGGCAUAUUUUCUUACUUCACAUCUACCAUAUUCUGGCCAAGGGAAGGAAGUAUGUGAUGCCAAAAUGCCUUGCCCCGCAGGUGGAAAGGGUGUUUCUUUAUCUUUGGCAUUGUCAAAUGCCAUAACAAACCUUGUUGGCAAGUUAAGUUGAUCUCUCUAGUUCCUGUAAUGUUGAUAAAAAUAUAUUAUUGAAGACAGUUUCUUGAUGAGAGAAUAAUAUCGAUUAUGAAGGCCUCCAAACUUGUAUAAAUGCAUCUCUAUUUAUUAAUAUGGUUUGCAAAUUAUCAAAUAUUCUUUUUCCUUGCAAGAUAUUAACUGCGCUGGUAAAUUUACCUAUCUUUUUUUCUCUUCUUCCUCAUGAACAAUUUACCGUUCUUGCAAGAUAUUAAUAUGCUUCUCUUUUUGAUGAACAAUGGCACCACGAACCCCAUGUCAGUAGUAGGGAAAGUGGGGUGGAGAAAAGAAAUCAAACAGUGGAUCGAACAUGGAGGGAAGUUAUAGUUUCUGGACAGCAAUAUUCAGAGAAAGAAGCAGACAUUUUGACAGGCAUGACAGAUAUUGACGCAAUUCCGUAAAAUUUGGAUUUGAAAUUCAUUUUUUGUGACACUGUGUUUAUAAUAAUAGGAUGUAUAUUGAUAAUAAUAAAAGAUUAAUAUUUUUUGGGUUUGGGAGGAAGAAGACUGCUGGAAUUGCCAAGUCUCUUCCUCUAUCUGCUGUGUGUGUGGUUUGUGUGUGUGUUAUCCUCUCUCUUCCUCGCUUUCUUUCCUUCUUCAAUCCCUCUCUCUCUCUCUCUCUCUCUCUCUCUGCUUUCUCUUUUCUCUUUCUCUAUUACUUUACUUUCCCUCUUGACUUUUUUUUUGUUUUUUUCUCUGUUUUCUCUUUUUGCUUUCUCUGUUAUUUAUCUCUUCUACUUUCUCUGAUUAAUUUUUAUUUUCCCACUCUCCUCUA